ensembl:lncRNA
AGCGCGUGGGCUGGGCCUGGGUGCGGGGUCCGCAGAACCGCCGCGCUCUACAGCGCUCUGCCUCCCCAGUCUAGCCGACCUGCCCUCGCCGAGCCAUGGCGAGCCAGCUGGGGGUAAAUAGUGGCCUAAUAUAGGGGCGGGGUGGCCACGUGGCGCCGGCCGGCCAAUGGGCGCCGUCCCCGCACGGUCCCGGUCCCGACUGGCGCGCGGCUCCACGCGCCUGCCCCGCCGCCAACUUUGCCAAAGAGGCUGGAGGCCGCGCCCGCGCCCGGCCCAGGGGACAGCCUUCUGGCCCUGGGGCUGCUUGGCUAAGGGCGGGGCCUGAGCGCUAAACGCCCGCUUCCCGGACAGAUAUUAUUCUUCCACAUAAAAUGACCCCAACUAGAUAUAGGAACCACUCAAGAGACUUACCCCUGGAGGAAGAAAUGGCAACCCACUCCAAUAUUCUUGCCUGGGAAAUCCCAUGGACAGGAGCCUUUGAGGCUACAGUCCAUAGAGUAGCAAAGAGUCACGACUGAGCAAUGAGCAGGAAGAAGAGAUUUUACCACAAGAUCUGGGACAAGAAGACUUCUGUAGUGUCUCCCACCAUGCUGAUCUUCUGGGAACCCUUCACCUGCUUCUGCUACUGCAAAUGACUGGACAUCCAUUAAUUUUGGUUCUUCAUGUGUGGAAACCUUUUGUUCACUGUGCUUCAGAAGUCUGGGCCUGGCCUGAAAAUGGAUCUUUGAAUUGUCUUUGUACUUUCCCAACUUGCCAAGUUUCUCAAAGAAGGACCGGAGUAAUGCCAAGGGUUGCCAGAUGAAGAGGACCUUCCUAGAUUCUGUAACUGAGAUUAACCCAUUCUUGACUUCAGGAGGCAAUUUCAACUAAUUCUCAGGAUAAAGUGAAAACAGGCCUGGGAUGUCCCUUGAAUAUCCAUGGUGUAAACAGGCUUCUGGCUCCCCCAGGUCAAGCAGAGAAACACUGUUUUAGAAUGUUUGGCUUCUCCUUUGUUAUUCAAACAUACACCCACACACACAUCCUCUUCACCCUCUGUAGUGAAAACCUCAACAGAUGGGGAGCCUAGGUGCUCAAGCCUGCUGGCUGAGAAGAUCACUUCACUCAAGGGUCAGUUGGCUGGUACAGAAUGGGGGAGGGAGAGAGAUGAGUAACUAGUAUGGUUAAUUACCAUGUUUAAAAUACCCCUUACAGAUACAAAUUUAAAAAAUGCUUUUCAGCAAGGUUAGCAGCCUCUGGGACCUGGGAAACCAAUUUGGCCAAUGCGUCUCUGAUAGGGACUAGGCUUGCGGUUGCACCAAGGGGCAAGUACUUGCUCUGUAUUCGCUCCCUCUCUUAUUUGAAAGCCUGUACAAAGAAAUAGUACAAAUGGAUGGUUAACAUAAUGAUUCCGUCUGAGAAGGAUUUUUCUCUGUGAGGUCCUUAGAUAAGGCUGAGGUCUGAAAACCAGGAGGUAGAAUGUGUUACCGCCCUUUUUUGCCACCUUUCCUCUGCAACUUCCCCAUCCACUUGGCUAACUCAGUAGGGUUUUCUCACUCCACUGCAGGCUGGGUCCUGAGUUUCUCCUUAGUAGCCAGGGCAGGCUCUCCCUGUGCCUAAAUCUUUUCCCACCCCCAGCUCUCAUUCUGCAGCUGGUCAUUCCAGCUACUUCAUUUCAACCCUGCUUUAAUUCACGUUUGAUUGGCAAGACGGACCAGGGGGCUCCCAAAUGACUUCCACCCUCAUCCAUAGUCCUGGGCUUGGGGCCCUGACCCCUUUCUUCAGGUGCCCAGAGAAUCGCGCACAACCUC